rnacentral:rRNA from 1 species
UACGUAGGGAGCAAGCGUUGUUCGGAUUUACUGGGCGUAAAGGGCGCGUAGGCGGCGUGGUAAGUCACUUGUGAAAUCUCUGAGCUUAACUCAGAACGGCCAAGUGAUACUGCUGUGCUAGAGUGCAGAAGGGGCAAUCGGAAUUCUUGGUGUAGCGGUGAAAUGCGUAGAUAUCAAGAGGAACACCUGAGGUGAAGACGGGUUGCUGGGCUGACACUGACGCUGAGGCGCGAAAGCCAGGGGAGCAAACGGG